rnacentral:lncRNA from 1 species
CAAAUUCAGAAUUACUUUUAUAAUCUUUAGCAUUUUCUUAAGUGAAACAAUAUAGCUACCCUGGGAUGUGGAUACAUUUUAUUUUAAUAAAGUAUGCAGGGGUCCUCUGAAAACGAGAGUGCCUAGAUCCUACACAGGCUUAAAAUUGGCCCUUGCUGUAGGAACCCCAGAAGGAUAAUUCCUCCCUUCCUCCAGGGAAAGAUUCCAAAGAAGGUAAAGCUGGAACUGCAUGUUGAGUACAAAGUAAGCAUGGUGACAUGUCACGAAUUUCACAACCAAAGAGAGUUCCGAAACCACAUAGUCAAGUUUAUCCAUGUAUCUGCCAAUUGGUCAGGCCCUUCUUACUUAAUAGGAUGUAGCUCAAUGCUGCAUGUCAGUGGCAACUCAUGACAACUCUUUGAUUGCUAAUAAGUAGGAUUGGUCAAAUGUAGGGCCAUUUAAUCGCCUUCCAAUUGUUUUGUGAUUCUAUUUUGCAAAGAUGCUAAUUCCCUGUGACUCAGUUGAGGGCAAAAAGAGCAGAGACCAACAGAACACCUGAGUGGAAAAGCAGGUAGCACAAUAUAAACAGAAGAGCAUACUCCCCAGAGCAGACAAGAUUCGACUCCCAGAGAUGCUGGUGGGAGGCUGCUUCAGGCAAUACUUUUCCUUUAGUUAUUCUUGUUCUUUCACGGGGCUCUGGAGGGAAACAGAAUGGGAACUGGGAGGAGGAUGUCACAAUCCCACUUUUGGUUUUCCUUAAGAGUCAGAGAAAUCUUGACACGUUAAGUUUGUCUGGAUAGGAUUUUAGAAGAUUCACUUUCAAUCUGAAAGCUUAGAGGAAUCGUGGCUUUACCUCUGGGAAUCACAGUUCUGUGCAAGGCAGCAGAAGCCAUCCAUUCUUCCUCUGGAUUGGUUGGAUCCCUCUAAGUGUUAGUUAUCAUGAUCAAACUGAAACUGGACCUGGACAUAGGGUAAGGAGGCCCAAAGUUAGAUCCCUAUAUGGCCCAAUUGUGAAUCUGAUUUAACAGUAAAUAUCAAUAUUAUUAUUUGUCCAUAUGUGCUCAGUUAUUUAUCCAUCCCUUCUUUCUUAUAAUAAAGGAAGCUAAAGAAAUAGCUCCUAUUGAAUGUUUACUAUGUAUUACAUUAUUGGCUAGGCGGUUCCUGUUACAUUUCUAUCCUUUAAUCUCUACCUCAUUUUACAAAGUGGGUCUUAUUGGCCUAUUUUAGAAUUGAGGAAACUGAAGCUCAGAGAGGUGACAGGAACAGCCUAAGGUUACAGAAUUGUGAGUGGCAGAGCCAAGAUUCAAAACUAGGUUUAUUUAAUUCCUAAGAAUUUACUCUUUUUCACAGCAUGAAAUAUUGGUCUUGAAUAUUUUUAUUGUCUCUCCUCUGUUCCCCCACAUGAAGUUAAAAUAAGUUGUGUUCUAAGAAUGUGUCAAGUUUUGUUUUAGAUGCUGGCAAUACAGAGAGAACUGUCCCUUUGGGCAGAGUCUUUGCUCUGCAGGAACUUACGCUCUAUUCGGGAAGGUAACACAGGAACAGCUGACUUUACUGCCAGGUAGAGAGAGCUCCUCCAGUGAGCUGCCUGCCUGAGUGCUUGGGGAGGACAGAGAAAGAAGCGACCGGAUUUGACUGAGGGGCUUAGGAGGCCUUCAUGGUAAAAUGGUAUUUUGAGUUGUACGUUAAAGGAAUACUGAGGUUCUGUUAAGCAGAGAAUAGCUAGGAAGGAACUUCUGGGCAGAGGGCUCAGGAGAAGCAGGGGCAGGGCGGCUGCAACCUGUUGCAUACAUUGGAGACGCGUUUUUCAGGAUGAAUUUUUCAAUACAUCGGGUUUUGGAUGGACCUCAUGGCAGAGGGUCUGCGGGGAGGUUUGCAGGCAGGUUCGGGGUGUGACUUCCUUCUGUCAGGGCAGGGAGGGAGUGAGGGACUUGCUCAGAACCACUCACCUCACCAGAUACCUGUUCAAAGUGUUCUGAGCCUUGGGUGACAGUGGGGCUGUAGGUGAGAGGGUGGCCAGCCUUCUAGCCUCCAUCUCUAUGAUCAGGAAAAUAAUUCUAAAAGUUUCCUUUAUGGGCAACCAGAAGGGCCACCUUUGUCUGCACACCAAGGUCAAGCUUUGCUAUGGUGCCAAGAGUAAUUUACUCUGAGCUUCCUACCUCAGCCUGCCCCUCUGUGCGGGAUUCAUAGUUCCUCAUAAUUCCUCAGUGCCAGACCCUGUCUAGGUGCUGGGCUUCACUGAGAAAUGAGGCAGACAGUUUGCUUGCAUUCUACAGAGAGAUUCUGACAAUAAAAGGAUAAGCCAAUGAAGAUGAAAUUGUGGUUGGUAGAAAGUGCUAGGAAGACGAUAAAAUAUGGCGAUGUGCCAGAGAGAAUAAGAGGAGUGGGAUGUUUAGGGAAAGCUCGUCUGAGUGGUGGUCAAGAGAAUAUUAAUGUGUAUAUUUAAUUUAAUUUGGUAAUGCAGGUACUCCACAUAAAUUUUAAAAUAUUCUAAAGUAUGUAAAUAUAGCAAAAGAGAGUCUCUCUUCCACUCCUAGUCUCCGGACACAUAUUUGAUUUUUCAGAGACAAAAACUGAAAUUGGUUCCUUGUAUAUUUUUUCAGAGAUACUCUAUGCAUAUACAAUUCUCUGUGUGUAUGUGUGAGUGUAAAACACCAAUGAGAGCAUCUUAAAUAUAAUGCCUGACAUAUUAUCAUUUUCACUUUACAGUACUUCUUGGAGAACUUUCUAUAUCAGUAAAUAUAGUUCCCUCACUUACUUUUAGCUGGUUUCACAAUAUCCCAUUGUAUAAAUAUACAGAUCCACAGCACUUACCUCUAGCUCCCAAAUCCCCAAAGCUCUGAAAACUCGAUUUUACCCCAAAUUUUGACACCCAAACUUGUCAAGCAGCAAAACUGACUUGAACUGAUAUGUAAAUAUUUAUGGUUUUUGGUAAUCCCAUUGAGUGUUCAUGGCAUAUGCUUCAGAAGUAUGAAUGUAUUUGAUUGCAGGGUGCUGCCCAGGGUCUGCUGGGAAUGGGGUGACUAUGAUACAUGGGCUGUAUUACUUAGCUAAAAUAAAAGAGAAAAAUCUGCCUUCUGAAACAAAACUGGCCUCAAGGGUUCUGGAUAAGAUACUGUGGACCUUUAUUGUGUUUUACUUAACAUGCCCUCUAUUGACUGAUAUUUCAGCAUUUAUUCUUACAAAUAAUGCUAAUACAUACAUGAGUCCAUGCCUGUGUGGACUAUCUGUAAGGUAAAUUCUUCAAAGAGGGAUUCCAUAGGUCUAAGUGUUUGUAUAUUUGUACUUUUGCUCAAUUUUGCCACACUGCUCUUAUGCUCCUGCCACCAUUGUUUAAGAGUAUUAAUUUUCUCUGUCUGCUUUUCAUGCCUACAAAAUGCAAUCAACUCUCAGUCAUUCAGUGGUUCAUUAGCUGGAACUCUCUAGCUGCCACACGUUCCUGAUUUGAUGAAACUUGCGGAUGAUGAGAACCACAGGGUUUAAUGACAAGAGAAGAGAAAGUGGUACUGAGCCCUGUUUGGAUGUCAGCAGCCUCAUUCUCAGAAAAUCUGCAGCCAAGAUAUGCUAGAUGAGGUUUAAUGAUGAAAUCAUGUGACUGAUCCUUUAAUCAAUGUGCCAGAUAUUAGGCACUAAUAACAUUGUGGGUUGUAAGGUUUGUCUGAAGUGAAAUGAUUGCAUCAUUUAUUGUUUUAGCAACUACAAGGUCAGCCUUGGUGAACUGGGAUCAUUGAAUGAGAAAAGACGUCCUUGCCUAUCUAGAAACAAAACUUGCUGUAGAAGGAACACAGUGUGAAGAAAGGAUCUGGGUUUAAAUCCUGGCUUUGCUGCCUUGUAACUGUGUGAAUUUUCCAUGUCACUUGACUGUCCAGAGAUUUGGUUUUCUCACCUGUUUAAUAAGAAUAAUAAUAUCUGAUUUUCAUUGUUAUGAUUAUCAUUAGGAUUAAGUAAGAUGAAUGCAUUUAACAUACUUGGCACAUAGUAGGUACUCAUUAAAUGGCUGGUUUUGAUUUUGAAAUUUUGAGCCAAGUGGCUUCUACGUGCCUGUUAAUUUUAAAAUCUCAUAAUAAAAUCACUACAUUAGAUCUGUCAGAAAGAUUGAUUUGAACAGGCAUUGGUAUGAAGGAGUGAGCAUUGAGGAAAGAAAACACUAGGAGAGCCAGGGUACAAAGCAUGGCAGCCAAUUGGUCUGAUCAUCUAGGAAAAGACAGUAAGUGGUGUUGUCUGAAGGUGGUCAGGCUUGCAGUUAGGGCUCUCAGCAGGGGUGUGUCUAAACAGGACAAAGCAUACAGUCUUGGAGAGGAGGAGAAACAAAGGGGACUUUCUUAGGCAAGCCACUUCUGAUGGGCACAUCUGAGAUGUGGGGAUACUUAUAGCUGUCCUAGCACUUCCCAUUAUUUCUACCUAUGACUUUUAAAUAAAUAAGUAUAAAGCAGGGAUUAUUCUCUCAACCACCCCAUUCUUCAUAAUGUUAGACAUUGAAACUAAAUUUAUAUUAAAUGACUGGAUGCUCCACUCUCACCCCCAAUUCCUGAGUUAUCAAGUUUGUGUUCUUCAAGAAACCAAGGGUUUCUUUAUCUUGAGUACAUUUGCAGAUUCCUUGCACUAUAACUGAAGGGAAAUGACAUCUAUAGAUGUAUCCUUUAACUGGGCGCCGUAGAAUGCAGUGGCCAAACAUGCCUUGAGUAGAGCUCAGCUGACAAGAGUCAAAUCCCACCUCUGCCACUCACUAGUGCUGUGACUUUGGGCAAGUUACACAAACUCUCUAUCCCUCCAUUUACUGCUCUGUACAAUGAGAGUGAUAAUACAAAAUCAGCUUCAAGGGGUUGUUAUGAGGAUUAAAUGAAAAACAGAACAAAACAAACCAUAUGACAUACUUAGAAUACUGUCUAGCACAUAGUAAGACUUCAGUAAAUGUUAGAUAAUGUUAUUCAUUCCCAAUGAAUGCUUACUAUCUAUCAGGAUUGUGCUAGAAAAUGAGAUUCAAGGGGUGGGGGCAGUGUUGGGUUCUGUGAUUGGGUCCAUAACUAGCACUCCUCUCUGCUGCCUGAGUUUUGAAACAAUUGAGAAACAAGUAAGAGAAUCAGCAGAUGGAGAGCAAAAAUGUUAGAUUUAUUACUGAUAAAGUCUACACAGAAGAACACAUUUUAGAUUGACAGUGGGCUUGCUAACUCCCAAUGCUCUGUCCAGGCCUUGGUAUAGCAUGCUCUGGUAAAGUUUGUGUCUAGAUUCCCUAAUUUAGAUCACUCUGCUCACUGGUGCAAAUGAGGAAAGGAAGAGAGAGACCAAAUCUCUGGGACUUGGAGUCUUUGUAGAUUAGCUCCACUCAAUGGACUGAUGACUACUGCCAUCAACCAGGUAAAUGACAAUACCUCAGAAAGAAGUAAAGGUGGAGCAAGAGACCAGAGCGUGGAGAAGAGGUCUUCUUGUCUGCUCGAUAAGUUGAAACAGUCUCUGUUAAAUCAUGUGAAAUCAAGGACAGGAAGUCUGCUAUAUCCUCACAAAACAAUGAGAAAUGUCAAAUGAUACAUCAACUCUAUAAAGAAUUUUUAUAACCAUGGAUUCAAGUUUUCUUCACAAUGAUCCCAUAAACCAAAUGGACAGAAAGAAAACUAUCGUUAAUUGAGUGUUCACAAUUUAUCAGGCAAUCAGUGAGUGCUUUAUGUGCAUUCUCUCUGGUUGCCUGACCUGCUCAAGGUCAAGGAAGUUGGAGUUGGGAAUGUUCCACACCUGACUACAGUCACAAGAGGAGAGAGUGGGGUGCUCAUAGCAAAACAACACCCCACAUGACUCUACAUUUUUAUACAUGGUCUCUCAAAGAUAAUUAUCAUAGUUCACAUUUGUUUGGUGCUAAAAAAAAGAGAAUAGAGUUUUAUACAACUUCAUUAGAAACAUUAAAUCCUUCGAUCCUUAGGACAAUGCUUUGAAAGAGAUUCAAUAGUUCAAUGUAUAUUUUUUUGAGUGCCCACUAGGUAUGGGGAACAGGAAUUGGCCCUUGGACUAUAAUGACAAGAAAAAACAGACAUGAUCCCUUACUUCAGGGGAACUUUCAGUCUUGAUGUAGGAGAGAGAUGACAUCAAGUAGCCACUGUGAUGAAUGUAAAAGGGCAACUUGUAUGGGUUUAUGAGGGCCAAGAGACAUGUCUAGGAAACUAUGGUAUGGAAGUAUUGGGGAGAGCAUUCCAGGCUGAAAGGAUAGUGUGUGCUAAAGUCCUGUGGCUGGAGUCAGAGGGCAUGCUUGAGGAAAGCCAGUGUGGCUGAAAGUGCAGAGGAAAGAAAGGUAGCAGAUGCAGUUACUGUCCAUCCCCAUUUUACAGAUGAAGAAACAACUCCAGAGCAAGGCAUGUCUUACCAAUAUCACCAUGAGGAAGUGGAGGAGCAUUACCUCAAAGCUUAUGAUUAACUGUCAAACUAUCACACUGAUGUCUUCUCGUCAUGCUAAUCCUGUUGUUGGGAGAAGAAAAAGCUGGCAGGUGUGCUAUUGCUUAUCCACACUGGGAAAGACAGAAGAAAGCGUACAGAGAAACAAAUAACCAAGAGAAAAAAGUUGGAUCUUCAACCAGUGGGCAAGAGAAUUCCAGGAAGAGACAUCAUAUUGUGCAAAGAUGAGGAAACUUUAGUCAAAAAUAUUGGAUACCCAGCUCAAGGUCCCACAACGAACAAGGGACUGAGAAAAUUCCAAAGAGAGGUGCUGUCUACUGCUUCUCUGAACGGUAUUGAAAUGCUUCAUCCGGAUCAGGCGCACAGGCCCUGUGCGCAGCUACUGCUUCUUCCCAGCAGGACUGCCUGUCUCUGGGGAGCUCUCAGACUUCUGAAAUGUGUUCUGGGUGUCCUGUGUAAAUGGUGUGAGCUGGAAAGCUGUUACUUAAACUUGGGAGGCUUAGCUGAAGCAGAGGACGAAUGAAUCAGGGGUGAUAUGCUUUGGGGGCAUUUCAGCAUGCUUUGUUUUUCAAUUCUGGUGACUAUUUUUCUAGGACCACAAUGACCUGCUCUUACCUGACAAGCCAACUAUAUUUCCUUUCUCUCCUGGGAUGUGGUUAUCAGAAAGAUAGAUCAGAGUCAAUAGAUAGAUUUAGUCCAGCUUUGAGGAUUUUGCUCAUCAAGUAUCAUGCAUAGAGGUGAUGUGACAAUUAGGGCACAUGGAUGAGAGCUCUCUUUUUCAAAGGAAGUCGCUGCCUUUCUGGCACUGGUACAAGCAUACCUUUAUGCUUCUCUCUGCCAGGAUGGCCAGUUCUUGCAGUUAAAAAUUCCAAACACAAAGGUCUCUUAAUCCAAUGGUAAAAAGAAAAAAAAAAUCACAAACUAUGCAGAAUUUGCUGGAUUUGAGGAGGAUAAAAGGAGAUCUCCAUUGGAUGUAUAGUAUGUUUGACAGUUGGAUUGAAAUUUGAAGAUAUGAUGAAAGUACAGAAUAAGAAUAAAAAAAUAAUUAGAAGCUCCACAGAAAGCAAAAUAGUCUAUAAGAAUGUAAUGAUCCUCCCCAAACAAAUUAAUCUGGUAAAAAUCUGUAGAUUUCAAGACAUGAAUUUCACACAAUAGAUAGAAAAUAGGCAAAAUGGAAAAGAAAUUAUCACACAUAUAACCUGUGCAAAUAGAUUAGAAUGCAGACACACGCACACACACCUCUCUUCACAUCUGAUACACUCAUACAAAUGAAAGGACUCGUAAACACUGCUCUGUGCCUUCCAUUUUUUAAGCUUACUAUAUAUUGUGGAAUUUUCAUGUUGCUAUAUAUACCAUUCCUUUUGUAUCAUUUUGGAUAUUCUUUUUAAUGGUUUCAAUGUAUCUCAUUAUAUAAAUGUACUACAAUUUAUAUCCAUGAUCACUAUUAAUGAACAUGUAGAUUGUUUCCAGUUUAGAGCAUUUAAUUUUUUUAAUUUCUUUUCCAAGCAAUACUGCAAUGAAUGUUGUUGGCCAUCCAUUGUUAACUGCAUGUGUGGGUGUGGCUGCAGAAAAAAAUUAUUUGCAGUGGAAUUUCUGAAUUAAAGGGUCUUUUAAAAGGUAUUGACCUUUUGCCAAAUUGACCUUCAAAGUUAUGCCAAUUUAUACUCCCAUUACCACUGUGUGAAUAUCUGUUUCCUCAAAAUCUUGCCCAAACCAUGUUUUGUAAUCUCUUUAAUUGUCACCAAUCAGUUAGGUAAAAAUAAAACAAUACCUUGCCGUUUUAGUUUGCAUUGAUUAAAUCAUCGAGUAAGGUUAGGCUUCUAUUCGUAUCAUUCUAAGCAAUUCGUAUUUACUUUUCUGAACCAAGCACAUAAUAUGUGCACAAUAAAUAUUUGUUGAACAACUAAAUAUACUGUCUGUGCAGUUGUUCCUUUUAUUAUUAGUGUGAAUGGAUUCUUCAUAGAGUAAAAAAAUAAUACCCUUUAAUACAGUUACUGCAAGUAUUUAUUUCCCCAUUUGCUAUUUGUCUUUUAAUUUUGUUUAUGGAUUUUUUAGGGGGAGGCAUU